CUAGGAUUGGGAUAUCAGUCUGGCUAGAUGAAGGCCCAGCCAGUAUCCUGUUCUGAAAACAAGCCUGGGCUGGGGGCUUUCUUGUCAUCUGCAGGGGUAGACUGAUCUACUUCCUGAAGCCCAGUGUUCAGUUGCAAAUGGUCCUUCAGGAACGUGUUAAAGGCACAGAUAGGUUCUCUGCUCAUGGAUGCUCUUUCAAACUGUAUCCUGCAACUUUUCUACAAGAGCACUUGCCAUUUUGGGGGAGUGUAUUAGUUUCCUGUUGUUGCUGGAGCAGGUGACUUAGACCUGGAGCAGGUGACUUA
rnacentral:lncRNA from 1 species